AAACAGCCCCCUAUGUUUUGAUUCUUUGGCAGUUUUGGACCCCCAAUGCAAAAAAUAAAUAAAAAAAUUGACACGUGGCACCUCACUUAGGGUGUCACGUCAGCGUUGACCGAGUCAACAAUGGACUGGGGGUCCAAAACUGCCAAAGAAUCAAAACAUAGGGGGCUGUUU
rfam:Medicago truncatula strain A17 chromosome 4, whole genome shotgun sequence.